AACGAACGCUGGCGGCAUGCCUAACACAUGCAAGUCGAACGAGACCUUCGGGUCUAGUGGCGCACGGGUGCGUAACGCGUGGGAAUCUACCCUCAGGUUCGGAAUAACUCAGAGAAAUUUGAGCUAAUACCGGAUGAUGACGUAAGUCCAAAGAUUUAUCGCCUGAGGAUGAUCCCGCGUAGGAUUAGGUAGUUGGUGAGGUAAAGGCUCACCAAGCCGACGAUCCUUAGCUGGUCUGAGAGGAUGAUCAGCCACACUUGGACUGAGACACGGCCCAGACUCCUACGGGAGGCAGGAGUGGGGAAUAUUGGACAAUGGGCGAAAGCCUGAUCCACCAAUGCCGGGUGAGUGAUGAAGGCCUUAGGGUUGUAAAGCGCUUUUACCCGGGAUGAUAAUGACGGUACCGGGAGAAUAAGCUCCGGCUAACUCCGUG
rnacentral:rRNA from 1 species